AUUGUAUAUAAUCUUAGAGCAUAAUCUUUGGAUGAAAAACUGUUUAUAUGUACCUGCCAUCUUCAAGAGAUAAUGAUAGAUUUCUUGAGGCUUUUGAUAACAUGGACAUAUGAUCUGCAUCUUUGCAUUUUCAAGUGCAAAGAUGCAGAUCAUAUGUCCAUGUUAAUAUCAAAGCCUCAAGAACUCUAUCUGCCC
rnacentral:sRNA from 1 species